ACGGGAGGCAGCAGUGAGGAAUAUUGCGCAAUGGAGGAAACUCUGACGCAGCGAUGCCGCGUGAGGGAAGAAGGUCUUUGGAUUGUAAACUUCUGUUCUUAGGGAAGAAAAAGAUGACGGUAUCUAAGAAGAAAGCUCCGGCUGACUACGUGCCAGCAGCCGCGGUAAUACGUAGGGAGCAAGCGUUGUCCGGAAUUAUUGGGUGUAAAGGGUGCGUAGGUGGCUUUGCAAGUCAACCGUGAAAUCUGGGGGCUUAACUCUCGGCUUGCGGUUGAAACUGUUUGGCUUGAGUUAUGUAAGGGCAAGUGGAAUUUCCAGUGUAGCGGUGAAAUGCGUAGAUAUUGGAAGGAACACCGGUGGCGAAAGCGGCUUGCUGGGCUUAUACUGACACUGAUGCACGAAAGCGUGGGUAGCAAACAGGAUUAGAUACCCUGGUA
rnacentral:rRNA from 1 species